AAUCAGUAGAUGGUCAAGAAGUUGAAAAAUUUGAAUUCUCAUAUAGGACUAGAUAUGCUUUCUUCCAGGGUUAGUGGCAUCCAGGGCUGAAAAUUUAUUCUGAGGUUUAGAAACUCUUAAAAAAAAAAAAAGUGUUGCUCUUGUCAAUUUUAUUCCCAAGUCACCCUAUGUACGCCAUUUAUCGUUCUUUUUUUUUGGCUUUCUGUCCAGGUAUUAGAGUAUGACACAUGUCCUUGUCAGGUAAAACAAAGGGAAACAUCAAGACAACAUGUAGAAUCCAAGCAAAAAGAACUUUCCAACCUAGUACAUGCUUUUUUGUUUGUUUUGUUUCAUUUUUAAGGGAAAUAUGCUUGUUGCUGUAGAGUUGGAAGAAUGGUUAUUGCUCACUCUGGAAAUCCUUGUCUUAAUUGGUUUGGGCUGCUAUAACAGAAACACAGUCUACUCAAAGAACAAACUUUUAUUUCUCACAAGAGGAGAGAGGGAUCAGAGUGUGGACUUCACCCUUAACCUAAUUACCUCUCGAAGGCCCCAUCUCCAAAUACCAUCACAUUAAGGAUUAGAAUUUCCACCUAAAAUUUAGAGGAUAGCAUCUUCAGGGAGACAAAUUUUCCCCAAAGACAGCAAUUGUUCUUUCUUACUUGCAUGAUAAAAUCAGGAUUCAAAGAAUGGAUAUGCCUCAUGUGAAAACAGAGGGGUUUCCUGUUACCCUCUCUGAAAGGAUUCAGAAACAGUUUCAUAUCAAAGUGUUUUUGCAAGUCAAAAGCAAUUGGAUAUUGGCAAUAUCAUAUAGUUCAACCUAAUAUACGUAGGUGAGGGACCACUACAUGAGGGUUGGUAUCAUUUUUCUAGGUUCAUUCCCAUUUUCCUGUUUUCCCAUUUCCAUUGUCAUAGAAAGUAGCCUCAAACAAACACAUGAUAAAAGAUUUUCAUUGUGCAUAUUUUCAAGGACAGAAAAACAAAGGAAGCCUUGGGGACACAGAGUGCAUAAUGGUAAUUAUCAUCAGGAAGAAGAAGGUGGCUGUGGGUCUGGGCACAGCUACAAGGAAACAAGGGCAAGACUGGGCCUGAGAAAGUUACCCUGAGACUCGGCUUGAAGGGACCAUAUGGGGUUUCCCAGUUACCUAUAUUUUCCUGAGAAUAAUUAACUGUGGGACCUGGCAUAGGUUAGGUGUAAAACAGCAUGGCUCUAGAAUCAGAUAAGCACUGAAUCUGAGUCCUGUCGCAGGAAGGAAGUUAGUUGCUGUUUGAUCUUUGCUCUCUUCCCAUUAUGCCCAGGGAGACGGGACCACAAGAGAUGGAGUAGAGAAGGUGGUAGCACCUGAGGGUGCACAGGAGGGGAAAUGAAGUGUAUAUGGCAGAACUGAGGAAGUCAAUGGAAGUGGACCAUGAAGAGCUGGUCUGAAGUGAUGUGGAAGAUUCUGAAUGCCUGGGAGGCUCUUGGGAGUUCUCCAAUUCCAUAUUAACUGUUAAACUUCCUGGCCCAGAAAGAUGAUGAUCAAUCUGGGAUUACUAAUUAUAUUAUUUAAAUGUAAUUGUUACUUCAAAUGUCAUUACAUUACUUUAAAUAUAACUUCUUUCCCCUGCACUUUCUAUUUAAACAUUUUUCAAGUAUGUAUCUUGACUCAACAGUUGUUCAUAUUUUGUCAUAUUUGCUUUGUAUGUAUACGUUCUGAAUGCCUUGAAAAUAAGUUGUAGAUAUCAUGAUAUUCACUGUAAAUAUUUAAAACAAUUUUGUAAUUAGAAAGUUUUUCAGAGGUUCCCGUCGUGGCUUAGUGGUUAACGAAUCUGAUUAGGAGCCAUGAGGUUGGGGGUUCGAUCCCUGGCCUCGCUCAGUGGGUUAAGGAUCUGGCAUUGCCGUGAGCUAUGGUGUAGGUCACAGACGCGGCUCGGAUCUGGCAUUGCUGUUGCUGUGGCAUAGGCCGGCGGCUAUAGCUGAUUCAACCCCUAGCCUGGGAACCUCCAUAUGCUGCAUGGCUGUGGCCCUGGAAAAGACAAAAAGACACAUACACAAAAAGUUUUUAAAUUGAGGUGAUAUUGGUUUAUAACAUUAUAUAAGUUCCAUGUGUACAACAUUUUAUUUUUACUUCUGUAUACACUACAGUGUGCUCAACACCAAAAAUUUUGUUUCUAUCCAUCACCAUGCAAUUGAUCUCCUUGAGCCAUUUUGCCCUCACCCUACCCUUUCUCUUUGGUAACCAUUACUCUGUUCUCUGCAUCAAACACUGUAAAUAUUUUAUAUAACCACAAUACAGUCAUCACAUCUAACACAAUUAAAUGUCCUAGUAACUUUUCCUGAUCAAGUGGGACUUAACUGAAUUUAUUCCUAAAGAAGUAGAUAUAUUUGUAAUUUAAAAAAUUAUUAUAGCAAUUUUUAAUAUAAAACAAAUAUCAGCUGUAAUCUUAAUAGCCAGGAAACCAAUGUUAACAAUUGAUAUAUUUUUCAUUCAUUUUUUAAAGCCUAUAGGAUGUAUAUUACAAAAUCUAAAACAAAUUUUUAUAUCCAGUCUUUUAGAGUUAGUAUGUUAUUAUUGCUUUACUAUGUAAAAUGUUCUUUAAAAUAUUUUUGUUGAUUACAUACCAUUUCAUAAGAAUGUACACUCAUUUCUGUGGCUGUGGUGUGGGCCAGCAGCUACAGCUCUGAUUAGACCCCUAGCCUGAGAACCUCCAUAUGCUGUGGGUGUGGCCCG
ensembl:lncRNA